GGUUGACAUAAGGAAGGCCAUUGGUCAUCGGGGUGCUGGCUCGGGGCUCAGUAGACCUAGCGCACAGAGAGAUGGUACCACCACCCAUUCUCCAACAGGGCAAGAAACAGUUAAGCUCAAAGGUCUCCCAGUUCAUCGGACCUGUGGCAUCAGGUGAUGCUUUCUGUACUCCCAGGAUGUCUGCUGGUUUGAACUCAACUUGGAAGGAAGGCAAGAGAGAGAAAGGGAAAACACAGCUCCCUGCCCUUGAGGACUGGCUGAGGGAAAAGAGGAGGCUGAACCACCCACAUAUAGACUUCUGUCUGCCUGCAGAGAGAACGUGGGCUCAGAAUCAACUGAAGUCCUGAGUCCCCAUUGACCGUGCUGACAUCUACCUGCCCUCCCCCACCCCCUGUGGACUAGCUGGCCAAGGAGCAGCCGUUUCUGGAGCCCUCAUCUGAAGCUUCUAGAAAAAAACAAUUUGCAAGAGACACAAGCCAAAUAGUAACUCCUUUCUCUGGUGCACAAGCCAAACCAAGCCUGGAGGAAGGAGGCUGGCUCUGCGUUCACCUCUCCAAACUGUCUUCCUCCAAGGGCUUCACUCCAUGAAGGUAGCUGGCCCCUAAGUGAAGGUGACAAGUGGCUGGCUAUGGCCACCUGUGUACAGAGUCUUAGGCCUAUUUUGGGGGCAAUUCACAGUCUGGAUCCAGGCAUCUGGAGAAGCCCUGGGCCAGUCUGGAGCCGUGACGCUUGUCUUUCUGCACUUUGAACUUGACUUUCCCCUCCCUGCCAGUGAGUGCCAGCCUCCCAUCUCUGAACACCCAUCUGCCACCAUCAGCUUCUGGUUUCCAGUGCCUGCAGAGCAUGGAUGGGCAGCACAUUCCUCAUGGAUCAUUCCUGC